rnacentral:rRNA from 1 species
AACGCGAAGAACCUUACCAGGGCUUGACAUCCCUCUGACAGUCCCUUAACCGGGACCUUCUUCGGACAGAGGAGACAGGUGGUGCAUGGUUGUCGUCAGCUCGUGUCGUGAGAUGUUGGGUUAAGUCCCGCAACGAGCGCAACCCUUGUCUUUAGUUGCCAUCAUUCAGUUGGGCACUCUAGAGAGACUGCCGAGGAUAACUCGGAGGAAGGUGGGGAUGACGUCAAAUCAUCAUGCCCCUUAUGCCCUGGGCUACACACGUGCUACAAUGGCUGGUACAAAGAGACGCAAGACCGCGAGGUGGAGCAAAUCUCAAAAACCAGUCCCAGUUCGGAUUGCAGGCUGCAACUCGCCUGCAUGAAGUUGGAGUUGCUAGUAAUCGCAGAUCAGAAUGCUGCGGUGAAUGCGUUCCCGGGUCUUGUACACACCG